ACUGAAAUGUUCUCAUUUUGAAGGGCGCUAACAUUCUCCUAACGGAUAAUGGUCACGUGAAACUAGGUAAGUUAAUCAAAAUUCCAUCACACUUACACGCACAGGUCUUUCCUAAAAUGUAGUUGGCUUGGGUUUGGUUUUGUUUCCCAGGAGUACAAGUCCCAGGUCCUAGCUCAUCCAUCCCCAGGGAUCUCGACAUACUUGUUUUUCAGUACAGAUUUUAUUGCUGAGCCAGCCUCUCUCUGACUUUUCUUACCCUAAGGAAGCAUAAGCUUACUACAUAAUAAACAGAUUUUUGCAAAGAAAUCAUGAAAUAAUAUGCAUUGGUAACUCUUUCACCUCUAAACCCAGAGAUUGGGCUUCUAGUAGAAAAUCUGUAUAAAAUUGAAAUGUGGACCAAAAAAAUUAAAAAUGUAGAAACUCCAAAAAUCCUACAUCAUGUUUUCAGCUUUAAAAAGCAAUCAUGCUAUUAUUGAUAUGAGUAUAUUUUAGAUGCUAACUGUUGCUUUACGUCAAACAGUAACUUGCAAGGUAUGAUUAAAACAAAGUGCAAAACCAGUAAUGACUUAGCAUGAGUUUAAACAGAACAAGUAUUCAAUAAAGUAACUUUAAUAACUGGUGACAAGAAAGUAAUGACAUAUGCAACAAUUAUUUUGAACUAUUUAGGACAAACCAAAUUUCAGACUAUUCAUUUGUUUUAUAAAAAUGAUAGUAGUGCGCUGGAUGUUAGCUCAGUGGGAGCCGUUGCCCAGAAUGUACCAGGCUCUGGGUUUGUCCCCAGCUGCACGGUACAGACAGACAGACAAAUAAAACUGCUUUAAACUACGGCCUACUGUCAGGCUAAUCAGAUUGAAAAUAUGUAUCUCAUCAUUGACAUUCGAGAUAGUUUUCCUCCGCAGCCUGCCAGUGAGAGAAGCAGGAAGGGUUCAGUGCUGGCCCUCGGAGGCCUGCUUACUGAGCAGUUUCUAUGAGCACCUGCGUCCACAGCAGCGUUCUAUACCUUCCUUCUCUUAGAAGGUUUAGAAGGCUUAAAUGCACUAGAAAGUAUUGGAUCUGAGCGUACUCAAGGAAGAGUACCAAGUCUCACUAGUGGCUUCAGAGUGUGCCGCAGAGUGUGGGGAUGCUGUGUUGUGUGUCUUUUCAGGAUAGAUAGGUUUACCAGUGUCCACUGAAGUCUGCAGGUGUCAGUCUGUCUGGCAGAGAGUGAGUAGACUAUAUGGUUACUUAAAGGUCCCUUCUAGUAAGACUCCUUGAAAUACAGGAGAAAGAGAAAUUAAAAUAUCAGUGUCAGUUUCAAUUUUCCUAAGGCCGUUAUUUUUUUAAUCACAAUUAUUUCAUUUUAACCUUUAUUGUUGUUUGAAUUGUAUGAGUUACAUGGGAAUCCACUUGGCUAUGCUACAUACUACUUCGUGAUAUUUUAAUAGUCCAUCAAAGUUAGAAACUGUAACAUGUUUGAGAUUGUUCCAUAUUUGUGAAAUUGAUAAAAAUAAGUAUUGGAAGUUACUUUUGGUAUUAUCUUAAAUGAUUUUUUUUCUCUCAUUCUUUUAAUAGCUGAUUUUGGAGUUUCUGCACAGAUAACAGCUACAAUUGCCAAACGGAAGUCCUUCAUUGGAACGCCAUAUUGGUAAUUUUAUUUAACUCAAAUUUUUAACUUAAAAUUUUUUUAUUAAUCUGUCAUUAUUAUAUGCAGUGUUUCUUUUUUUAAAAAAAUGUCAGAAAUCUUAUGCUUAGGACAAAAGGGAAUCAUCAAGCUUAGUGAUUCAAGCAUGUGUUCUUAUGGAUAACUUGUCAAAAAAUAUCCCACACACUGGCUUUCAUAAAACAGAAAAGGCUAUAAAGUUUGAUACAGUUGUUAGCUUCCUGAUACUUAACACACAUUUCAAUAUAUGUUUUUAUAUCUAUCUUUUUCUAUAUCCAUAUUCUAAUUAUUAUAUUAUUCACAGUUUUCAAAAACUUUGCAGGUUUUGGAGUUACCGGGAAUUGAACGUAGGGCCUCAGUCAUUCUAAGUAAACAGUCUCCUCCAAUGUCUUUGCAGCCCUGAUUGACUGUGGUAAAAAGCAGGUCUCUGGGCAUGUGGAGUCUACGCCAAGCCUCAGUUCAAUUCUUUACCUUCUUUCUGGAAGUCUGAUCCACAGACUUUCCUUUCUGGCCAUACCUGUCUUCUAGGUAGUUUUUCCUGUCACAGAAAAACCAUCCUAGCAUUCAUUGUUUAUGCCUUCAUUUUGGCCACUGUGUGCUGGUGGCCUCACUGGCUGCAUGGUAGGCAGGAGCAGCGCUGCUUUGGGUUUAAUGCCCUGGAGUCUUGACCACACCUUCAGCUCAGGGCUACCCUCCCCAGACAUCUCUAGUCUGACUCCUCAGUACACAACGGUGCUACUGGGGUUUUGUGUUGUUCUAAGCAGGGAGCAUGAUAAAUAUCAUUUCUUAUACAAUUUUUUAAAGGCAACUAGAGCUAAAACAGCUCUGUCUUUUGCUGGCCAUUAUUUGUAGACUUUGUUGUAAGAGUUGAAGAUUCCAGCUCAUUCAUUUGUCUUGCAGUUGUCUUGUUCUUGCAGUGUUCUUGCUGAAUCAGUUAGUAGUCUGCCAUCACUCUUCACUGUUUUCCUGAGUCCUCUUGUUUUUAAAUUGCUUAUAUCUUCUCUUAAUCUCCUGUAAGACAUCCCAUUCCUCCUCACAUUGCCCAAUUCUGUAAGAUGUGCCUGUAUGAUUUUCUAUGCCUGUAAAGCCUGCCAAGUUACUAGUGCUGUAUGUGCGUGCGCACACAGGAACUUAACUGCAUGCCCGGCCAGCACUCUACAAUUGAGCUACAUGGCCGUGCUUUGCUUCCGGGUGUGAUCCCUGGGAGCUCCUUUCUUAUAUUCUAAGUCUUCUUCUUUGACCUGCUUUGAAUUAUGUUUUAGUCUCUUUCCGUAAAUGGUGUAUGGGUGUAAGAGCUUUAGGACUUUGUAUUUCUGGCUUCACAUUUGACUGGGUUUAAAGCGCUAGGUUAGAAUAUUUGAGGCAUUUGUCCGUGGGCUUCUGUGAUGCCAUGUGAAGCCAUCAUGAUGUAAUGUAGUGCACCCCUCCUCCCAUGGUGACACCUCAUAUUUUCAUAUUCCGUGAUGGUUCCUGGUGUUUCCAUAUCCUAGAUAUUGUGUUUGGUUUUGACCUUCAUUCGUUCAUGCUUGUCAUUUGGUGUUUAUUUCAGAGACGAACACCUUUCCCAUUCUAGACGGUCCUCCUGGGAGGUAUUUCUCUGGUGUUGACAUGGUUGUCUCUCUGCUGCAUUUCUUCCUGCUCUCUCUGGGAUGUCUAAAGUCAUGCCUCAGGCCACUUGAAUCAACCCACAAGUUUUCUCUUUUUCUCCCACUUCAUUUUUUUGGAAGUUUGUUUUUGUUUGUUUUUCUUUGAGGUUGGAUUUCAUUAUGAAGAUCUGGCUGUCCUGAAACUGACUGAAACCAGGCUGGCCUUGAACUCACAGAGAUCUGCCUGCCUCAGCUUCCCAAGUAUUGGGAUAAAAGGCAUGACCCACUCCAAACUAACUCUCCCACUUAAAGAAAAUAUGCUAUGUUCAAGAUUAAGGUGAAUCUCUGCGAGUCCAAGGCUAGCCUGGUGGUCUGUCUACAGAGCAAAUUGCAGGUCUGCCAGUGUUUCAGAGUUGAGAGAG
rnacentral:lncRNA from 1 species